UCAACAUAUGGCUUGAACAACCUAUAGAAUGCACAUCCCCUGCAACUUAUUCCGUAAUGCUUCAGGAGUGACUUACACAUGAAAAAGAAAGCACACUAAUGUGCUUGAAAAUUAAUCGUGUUAUCUUGCAUUUUUGUGUCAUGAGUGAACCAUAUGAUACAUGAGAGAAUUAAAAUUGGAGCGUAAAAGAUGUUGUUUAUUUCCUAGCUUCUGGUAUUCGAGGAGGAACUCACAGUGAUAAGAAAUCUGUCUUCCAAAGUAAAAGGCUGAUGUUGAGCACUUUUCACCAAGAGGCUAAAUACAAGGGCAUAUCUGUUCUCUUCAGAAAACAUCACGUCUGUGCUACUGCAGGGGAAAGGUCCUGAUUACAAAAGGACUCUACUAAUUAAUGUGAUUUAGAUGACGACACUUUUUUUUUUCUUGUUGAAAUGCAAAUGAGAUAUUUUGUGCAUGAAAAGUUUGACAUUGGUGGAAUGAAUUAUGGAGAUACUGAUGUACUCAAAAGGGCAGACUUGGGUACUUGUGAGAAGACCCAGGAUAAAAAAAACGUUUGAACUUGAACUGCUUGAUUGAAAGAAAGUUUGCACAAAGAAGGAUAUCCACAAAAGAAUUACUCUUUCUACUAGCUUUGCUGACUUAAGAGCUCCUUCUGAUUGUUGCUGAGGUGAGAGCACUAAAACUGAAGGACCAGCAGGAUUUACUAGCUCCAGCACUCUUAGGCACUUUCAGAGUUGUUCUCUGGUUACCCCAUAUAGUUAUGUAAUCAAUCUUCAUUUUUCAUUGACUGUUCUUUAUUUGUUUGGCCUUAACCCUAAUUUGAAGGGCAUUGAAGAAGGCUGUCCAAAACAGGAUACACCCAGAACAGUAUUAGGCUCCUGUGUCACCUACUUCAUUGCUUAGAGGAAAAUGAUCCAGCUACCUGACAUGCAGUACCAGGACGAUAAACACCCAGUGAUUUUGCAGCACAUUUUGGGAAGAUCACUGGCAGACUGACAGCUUUUAGACAUGUAUGGCUGCAAGUAUGAGAAUAAUUACACUAGUUUUCUCCACAUCUGUGAAAAGGUGAAAUUCCUUCCCAAAAUGUGUCCAAUUGGCUGAAUAUUCCAAUACCCAUGUUUUGAAAGCAUUUUAUUUUAUUACUCUGAUUCUAGAGACUAGUAAAUAUCUCAUAGGAACUAUGAUAAUUAAUUGAAAAUUCUUCAUCAGAAUGAAUGGGAGAUGAACAAAGAUGGCAAGGAGCUAAAACUAGAAAGCUC
rnacentral:lncRNA from 1 species